GCUUGUCUCAAAGAUUAAGCCAUGCAUGUCUAAGUAUAAGCAAUUAUACCGCGAAACUGCGAAUGGCUCAUUAAAUCAGUUAUCGUUUAUUUGAUAGUACCUUACUACUUGGAUAACCGUGGUAAUUCUAGAGCUAAUACAUGCUAAAAAUCCCGACUCACGGAGGGAUGUAUUUAUUAGAUUAAAAACCAAUGCCCUUCGGGGCUUCUUGGUGAUUCAUAAUAACUUCUCGAAUCGCAUGGCCUUGCGCCGGCGAUGGUUCAUUCAAAUUUCUGCCCUAUCAACUUUCGAUGGCAGGGUCUUGGCCUGCCAUGGUUACAACGGGUAACGGAGGGUUAGGGCUCGACCCCGGAGAAGGAGCCUGAGAAACGGCUACUACAUCCAAGGAAGGCAGCAGGCGCGCAAAUUACCCAAUCCCGAUUCGGGGAGGUAGUGACAAUAAAUACUGAUACAGGGCUCUUUUGGGUCUUGUAAUUGGAAUGAGUACAAUUUAAAUCCCUUAAAGGAAUUGACGGAAGA
rnacentral:rRNA from 1 species